rnacentral:lncRNA from 1 species
CCCCCAUCCCAACUUUCUGUUGGCAUCAGAACAAUAUAUAUAAAAAAAAGAAGAGUGAACAAAGGGAUGUCAGUACCCUUGUUCUCCCAAGCGCCCAUACACAUUUCCAUAUCGAGCUCUAUCAGAUCAGUGGCACCCAGAACCCUUCAAAACCAAAAUAGAUGUUCUUGGCACGUCUUUGGCAAAUCUAUAAUGCUCCCUUUGUUCGACCCAGCUAUAACUCGGACUUGAGAGGAGGGAGGCUAAUGUUGGGGAUAUUCUUGUAUUGGCCGAAAAUGUGAGACUGGCCGAAGAAAUAAGAUGGAUUCCAGCCGUAGCCACAUUACCCACCACAACAUGACAAAAUGAGUAUUUAUGCUUCGGAUCAUAUGGAUCUGAUGAGAGGCAUUAAUGCCUCUC